rnacentral:misc_RNA from 1 species
GCAAAAGAAGCUCGUUUUGCUGAACCACCAGCUCAGUAUCUCCCGGGAAACCAAAAUUCGGAUAUAAAAAAAUGAGGUCACGGUCUAGGAUCACCUCAACAACCAAUAACGAACCUACAUAAAGAGAGUGAAGCAACAUUUCUAAUUUCUGGUGGCUACUUCAAACAUAGUAGCCGGUGAGGGUGAAACCCCUCCCUACAAUCUCACCAACGCAGAACCACGCAUACAAUUCAAUCCCGAAGAGGGCUGCAAUACCAGCAUCUUCAACCUUCAGUUCCUGCCUAUUCCUCCAUAUAUGCUUCACACCGUCGAGCUCUUUCCAAAACUCCUGAUAGCGCAAAGGAAUAUUAGCAAGCCGAGUGUAAAACAGCUUCUUCGACAGCUCCUGGCACGUCUCCGCAGUCGGCGGAUCCACGAUAUACUGCUUGUUCUUCUCCAAGAGCUGCUUGUAGUACGCGCACCCGUGUUUAGCCACGAAACUCGAGGCCUGGGCGGCCUUUCCCUGCAGUUGUAGCAACUUCGACGCCAUCCGAACCCUAAACCAAACCCUUUGGGAUCGCCGGGAAGGCGGUGAAUGAGAUCGGAGGACUCGGACCAACGUUU